AAGUCGUAACAAGGUCUCCGUAGGUGAACCUGCGGAGGGAUCAUUAACACGUUUAACACGUAUCAACCAAACGCGAACUCGAGGUAACAUUUAAGCAAUUAAAUGAAACUUCAAUCGACCUUAAACUAAUUAAUUGUUUAAAUUCACUAGUGAUGGGCAUUGCAACGAUGCAAGUUGAAGUAGUGCGGUGAAAUUAGACUUACAUAGCUCGACUAUGAAGGUUAGUUAGUUUAAGGUUUCAACUUCUUUUCAUCACAGGAUAACAAACCCCUUUCACCCCCUUAUAACAAUUGACUGAUUCAAUUUGACUGGAGAAAUCCUAUUAAAUUCCAAAAAACUAAAGCACAACUCGUAGCAACGGAUAUCUAGGUUCUC
rnacentral:misc_RNA from 1 species